rnacentral:rRNA from 1 species
UACGUAGGGGGCUAGCGUUGUCCGGAUUUAUUGGGCGUAAAGAGCGUGUAGGCGGCCAGGUAGGUCCGCUGUGAAAACUCGAGGCUCAACCUCGAGACGCCGGUGGAAACCAUCAGACUAGAGUCCGGAAGAGGAGAGUGGAAUUCCUGGUGUAGCGGUGAAAUGCGCAGAUAUCAGGAAGAACACCCGUGGCUAAGGCGGCUCUCUAGUACGGUACUGACGCUGAGACGCGAAAAGCGUGGGGGAGCGAACAGG